rnacentral:rRNA from 1 species
GACCGUGCAAAGGUAGCAUAAUCAUUUGCCUUAUAAUUGAAGGCUAGUAUGAAUGGUUUGACGAGAAUUAAGCUGUCUCUCUUUAACUAAACAUAAUUUUAUCAACAGGUGAAGAAGCCUGUGUUUUAUUGAAAGACAAGAAGACCCUAUCGAGCUUUAGCAAAUCUAGUAGACUUAUCUCGUAUUAAUAGAAACAUAAUACUAUUAAAAACUUUAGUUGGGGCGACUAAGGAACAAAAAAAGCUUCCUUACAAUUGGAAGACUUACAUGUCCUGAUCCGAUAGAUUCGACUAAAGGAGAUAGUUACCGUAGGGAUAACAGCAUAAUCUUCUUUGAGAGCUCUUAUCGAAAAGGAGGUUUGUGACCUCGAUGUUGGACCAGAAUAUCCAGAAGAUGCAGCUGUCUUCAAUGGUUGGUCUGUUCGACCAUUAAAAUUCUACGUGAUCUGAGUUCAGACCGGCGUGAGCCAGGUCAGUUUCCAUCUUCAAUUUUUAUAAUAACCUUAGUACGAAAGGAUCAGGCUAUUACAAAAUAAAUUGUUAUACUUGAUUUAAUAUAAAGAAUAAUUUAUUAUAUAGUUAUUAUCAAAUUAGCAAAGAUAUGCAAUUGACUUAGGAUCAAUAGACAUAGGUGAAAUCCCUUUAUUUGAUAUAUAAAGAUGGCAGAAAA